rnacentral:rRNA from 1 species
UACGAAGGGGGCUAGCGUUGUUCGGAAUUACUGGGCGUAAAGGGCGCGUAGGCGGUGUGUCAAGUCAGGCGUGAAAGCCCCGGGCUCAACCUGGGAACAGCGCUUGAGACUGGCACGCUCGAGUUCGGGAGAGGAUGGUGGAAUUCCCAGUUUAGAGGUGAAAUUCGUAGAUAUUGGGAAGAACACCGAUGGCGAAGGCAGCCAUCUGGACCGACACUGACGCUGAGGCGCGAAAGCGUGGGGAGCAAACAGG